GGAAGGGAAGGGAAGGGAAGGGAAGGGAAGGCGCAGGGAGGCGCUGGAAAGCGCUCUCCCGGGACUGACCCGAGCCCCACAAACCCUUUAUAUACCCCCAGCCGGGGUUGGGGCUCUGCCAUGUCACAAUGGACUUUGGGCAUCACAAGGUCCCGCAUCAGCGAGGGCCCUGACGCACCGUGCCUGUGUCAUAGAGGCCACCCCGGCACCCCGUGCCUGUGUCACAAAGGCCACCCCGGCAACCCGUGCCUGUGUCACAAAGGCCACCCCAGCACCCCGUGCCUGUGUCACAAAGGCCACCCCAGCACCCCUCCAACAGCCCGAGUCACCGGGAGCGGCCUGGAGCAGCCCCGGUCUUGGGGGAUUGCUGCCCCUUCUUCUGAGCCGCUCCUUCAAAUGAUCAGGAGCGGCUGGGGCCGAGUGAAGUUUUGGGUGCUGCCCUCAGGAAUGAGGUGAAACCAACGUCUUUGGAAACUUUGGAAGGAACAAAUGAAAGGAUUAGGCUCCUGAAAAAGGAAUGUUGAGGUAAGGUGUAGGUGAGACAUAGCAAAUUUCCCAUCUGUCAGAAGGAGGAGAAAGAAACGUUUCCUGUCCCUGCUAAGACAGGGAGCAGGAAGUGUGACUUGGAGAAGGAGAGUUUAAUCCAUCUAUUAAAAAAAACAGUGAUAAACUACAGCAGACUGAUUAGGAAACAUUGUUUAUGUUUCAGUUCCAAAGGUCUUUAAUUCCACCUUCUGCUGAGCAAGAACUGAGUGUGGUGUUGCACUAAGCCAGGCGUUAUGUUUGCACUGAAGUGUUUUUUCCCUGUUGCUCAUCCCUGGGUGUGUGGUGUUGGAUGCCUCCCCUCGCUCUUCCCCUUCCAUUUCAUUGAAGUUGGAAUCCUGCUUUCUCCCUCCCUUUGGCCUCCCAGUUUAAAAACCCCUGCCAUUUCUCCCUGUGUCUCUUUUUUCCCCGGAAUUCAUUCCAAGAAUAAACUGGACAGCAUCCUGGAGAAAAGAGCCUCC
rnacentral:lncRNA from 1 species